AUUUUUGUGUGGCUUAUUUAUUCCGCACAAUGGUACCAGCACCAUUUCUUAAGACAUUUAAGUACAACUAUUCACAACUUUAUGGCCUUCUACUCGGGGCAAGCGAAGUGAGUCCCUAGCUUACAGAUAGUGUUGACAUUUUGUCUGCGCAAGAGUAAUUAGGAAACAAUCGGGAACUUGGGCACAUGCAGUUCUGGGAUAUGCUAUCGUUGAUACCCAGGUUGCCCACAUAUCUACCUCAACUGCAGUUUGCGCUGGGUUCGAGGUUCACUAUACUUUUGUUUUAACCCACCUUUGUCAAAAGUUGUAUCAACGGGUGAGACUGAUCUCAACUCCCUCUUAGAUAUGAUGCUUAUCACCAAGACAACAAGUGCCAAUUGGACACAAGAGGUUGUGGAACAGCUUUAACUAACGGUUACAUAAUUGUCACAAUACCAUGUUAGAGGACUUAAUUAGAUCUAUAAUAUGAAAACUAUGAUAAUUUUGACAUAACGCUGUACACCCUUUGAUUUAAUUCGGUCAUCUAGUUA